UUGGAGGGCAAGUCUGGUGCCGGCAGCCGCGGUAAUUCCAGCCCCAAUAGCGUAUAUUAAAGUUGUUGCAGUUAAAAAGCUCGUAGUUGAAUUUCGGGAUUGACGUGAUGGUCAUGCCUUAAGGGGUAUGAACUGUUACAGUUGAUUUCUCACCUUCUGGAGAAACUUGAUGUCCUUUAUUGGGUGUCUUGCGGAUCCAGGACCUUUACCUUGAGAAAAUUAGAGUGUUUAAAGCAGGCAUUUUUGCUCGAAUACAUUAGCAUGGAAUAAUAGAAUAGGACGGCAUGGUUCUAUUUUGUUGGUUUCUAGGAUCGCCGUAAUGAUUAAUAGGGAUAGUUGGGGGCAUUAGUAUUCAAUUGUCAGAGGUGAAAUUCUUGGAUUUAUUGAAGACUAACUACUGCGAAAGCAUUUGCCAAGGAUGUUUUCAUUAAUCAAGAACGAAAGUUAGGGGAUCGAAGACGAUCAGAUACCGUCGCAGUCUUAACCAUAAACUAUGCCGACUAGGAAUCAGACGAUGUUAAUUUUUUAAUGACUCGUUUGGCACCUUAUGGGAAACCAAAGUGUUUGGGUUC
rnacentral:rRNA from 1 species